CAUAAUCCUUAAGGUAAGAAGGAGGAUUGUGUUGUCUUCCAGAUUUUCUGGGAACAGCAGCUGAUGUGGAAGAAGGUAAAGCAGGAGGUGAACUCUCAGGGUUGAAAGGAGGACUGGAAAUUGGAUAGGAAGAAGGAGAAUCUUAAACAGAAGGUGAAGGUUGAGAAGAAGAUAUGGGAAUAGAGAAAUCUGGCUCAGAAAGGGAAUGCUCAAGAGGAGGAAAAAAAUGAAAAGAAGAGGGAGAAACAGGAGGAAUAGAGGUGACAGAAGAAACAGAUUUGAAAGGAAAAGAAUUUUCAUGAAAGAUAACAUCCCUGGACACAAAGCACCUUUUGGAACUGAGAUCAUACAGUCUAUAACCCUUUUUAGCAAAAGAAUACCCCAGGAAAACACAUGAAAUGGCCCUAGGUUUCAACUUGUCCCUUUGAGGAAUUGGGACAGUAGCAUAGGCAAGGCAGCCAAAAGUCUUUAAAUGGGAGUAAGUGGGUGUCUUACCAUGCAAUAUUUCAUAAGGGGAUUUGCCAUGAAGAAGCCUGGAGGGUAUUCUGUUAAGCUUACUAUGCAACAUAAGGGGAUUUACCAUGAAGAAGCCUGGAGGGUAUUGUGUUAAUAAGAUAGGUAGCAGUUAAUAGGCAAUCUCCCCAAAAAGAGAUAGGUAAACCAGAUUGGAAAAGUAAAGCUCUACAGGUUUCAAGAAGAGUUCUAUGUNN
rnacentral:lncRNA from 1 species